rnacentral:rRNA from 1 species
UACGUAGGGUGCAAGCGUUGUCCGGAAUUAUUGGGCGUAAAGAGCGUGUAGGCGGUCAGGUAGGUCCGUUGUGAAAACUCGAGGCUCAACCUCGAGACGCCGAUGGAAACCAUCGUGACUAGAGUCCGGAAGAGGAGAGUGGAAUUCCUGGUGUAGCGGUGAAAUGCGCAGAUAUCAGGAAGAACACCCGUGGCUAAGGCGGCUCUCUAGUACGGUACUGACGCUGAGACGCGAAAGCGUGGGGAGCGAACAGG